GUUCUUCAACAACUGCCGAAGAAAAAACUGGUAAACGUCUAGAAGAAAUAUGAAACAUUAUAAGUAAAUGUUAAACGCGUGCAAAGAAUUAACUUAAAAUCGUCGAAGUAUCCGAUAUUGGAAAGAAAACGUUCAGUAAUCAAUUCAGCAGAGAGAUAUAUGUAAAACGAGAUUAUUAUUUUAUACUCUGUAAACUAAUGCUGGCAAAGAUUGGAUAGGAUGGCAUGGCAAUAUUGCUAAAUUUACGACAAAUUUAUAUUUCUUCAACUAUGGUUUAUGCUGGAGCAC